rnacentral:rRNA from 1 species
GGGUCAGUAGGUUCGUCGUGCCACCGGUACGUACUGGUCUCACUGAUUCCUCCUUCCUGAAGAACCGUAAUGCCAUUAAUUUGGUGUUGCGGGGAAACAGGACUGUUACUUUGAAAAAUUAGAGUGUUUAAAGCAAGCUAACGCUUGAAUACAUUAGCAUGGAAUAAUGAAAUAGGACGAUCGAUCCUAUUUUGUUGGUUUCUAGGAUUGACGUA